CCAAAGAGGGGGACCUUCGGGCCUCUCGCGUCAGGAUAUGCCUAGGUGGGAUUAGCUAGUUGGUGAGGUAAGGGCUCACCAAGGCGACGAUCCCUAGCUGGUCUGAGAGGAUGAUCAGCCACACUGGAACUGAGACACGGUCCAGACUCCUACGGGAGGCAGCAGUGGGGAAUAUUGCACAAUGGGCGCAAGCCUGAUGCAGCCAUGCCGCGUGUAUGAAGAAGGCCUUCGGGUUGUAAAGUACUUUCAGUCGUGAGGAAGGCGGCGUCGUUAAUAGCGGCAUCGUUUGACGUUAGCGACAGAAGAAGCACCGGCUAACUCCGUGCCAGCAGCCGCGGUAAUACGGAGGGUGCGAGCGUUAAUCGGAAUUACUGGGCGUAAGCGCAUGCAGGUGGUUUGUUAAGUCAGAUGUGAAAGCCCGGGGCUCAACCUCGGAAUAGCAUUUGAAACUGGCAGACUAGAGUACUGUAGAGGGGGGUAGAAUUUCAGGUGUAGCGGUG
rnacentral:rRNA from 1 species